GGAAAGAUGCCAGAGUGAUCGAAUGGACCGGACUCGAAAUCCGGCGAACGGCUUUUGCUGUUCCGUGGGUUUGAAUCCCACUCUUUCCGCCA
rnacentral:tRNA from 1 species